AUGUGGGUGGGGGAGUGCAGCGGGAGAAAAUUCCAUCCUAGUUUGUGACGUGGAUAAUGUUAUAUGUAUUAAUUAAUAUAUUAAGUUAAAAUAUAAUAUAAUUUAAAAUAUUUUUAAUAUUUAUAACUAAUAUUAAUGCAUUAGUUAUUGUUGGUAAAAAUAAUAAUACUACAAAAAAAAAAACGAAAAAAAAAAUCAAAAAUCACAACUCUCACCGGAGACUCUCCGACGACCUUCUCUCUCCCUUCCACACCAAAACCCUAAUCUACGGCGGCGUCGACUCCCAUUGUGUCGUCUCUCUCAAAACCUAGCUCGUAAUAUCCGUCGAUCCCUCCGCGUGGCCUAGACUUGGCGGCUUUAAUCGAUCGAUUCGUCGCGUGUACUGAAGAGAGUGAAACAAGAGACAAAGGAAGGUUGGUGUAUUUGGGUGGGUUUAGGAAUGAGGACUCUCUUUGAUAGGAAUGGAUUGAAAUUGAAGCUCGAUGGAACACACUACGACUUUUUGAAUGAGUAUGGCUUUUAGAUAUUCGUAUUCGGAGGUUUCGAAGUUCGUAAAGCCCCAUUCUUGUGAUUUUGAUUUCAAAUUGUCUGUUUGAUGGAUAAUUGAGUGCAAAUUCCAAGUCUCUCUUAACAAAUGUUGAAUCAUUAUCAUAAAUGAUUUGAGAGGUGAGAGAGCUCCAGUGGUCAUCCUUGCUUGCUUCGUCGCUGGUUUGUCGAGGUAAGAGAGCCCCGGCAGCGUUCAUCUUUGCCGAAGUGAUAGCGUAUGGUUUCAUUGCUGGUUUGCUGAGGUGAUAUCACUCCAAUGGUCUUUUCUUGGUUUCUUUAUCGGUUGCAUUUUUCCUGUUAUUGUUCCUUAUUUUUAAUUCACUAACCCAAGCAAAACGACUACUUCAGGAAUACUCCAGGGGAAUAUACUUUAGAGGAUCUGAAUGCAAAAAAUAUUCCCAUCUUUGUAAGCAAUGUUCCACCCUUACAAUGGGAUAUUGCUGUAGCUCUUCUCUUUUUUGAAGAGGCAAGUGCUUUUAACAAUGGAGGCCCAGUGUAUAUGCAUUUCGUGUGUGAGUGGAUCAGAAAAUGGGAUAGUAGGACAAAUUAGCCGACCGGCUGACCGGCCAAAAAAGUUGGCUGGCCGGAGUCUAAAAAAUGGUUGUAGAAGUUGGGGGUAGUAGGUGGAAGUUAGGGGUGAUGGGGGAAGGUUGAUUGUGGUGGUGGCUUAUUGUGGUGAUUAGGCUGCCGGAGGGAGUAGGUGAGUUGAAUAUGAUUUAGGUAAAUCUCAACUUAUAGCAAAUUUUGAUUGGUCAUUACCUAACAUGAUUUAUUAUCAUUUAGUUUUAUUUUUUUUUAAAGUUUAGUUUACGCUUUUUAUGUUUUUUUUUCUAAAAUACUCCUGAUUCCGUCACUAAUUUGGAAUACUCUCAGACUUGACAUAAUAAAGGUACGCAUACUUGUAUAAUUAAUCUUAAAAACUAUUUAGUCUAAUGCUCUGUU